rnacentral:rRNA from 1 species
ACUGACCCCCUCCGUGCCGCAGUUAACACAAUAAGUAUCCCACCUGGGGAGUACGAUCGCAAGGUUGAAACUCAAAGGAAUUGACGGGGGCCCGCACAAGCGGUGGAGUAUGUGGUUUAAUUCGAAGCAACGCGAAGAACCUUACCAGGGCUUGACAUCCCGAUGACCGGCAUAGAGAUAUGCUUUUCUCUUCGGAGACAUCGGUGACAGGUGGUGCAUGGUUGUCGUCAGCUCGUGUCGUGAGAUGUUGGGUUAAGUCCCGCAACGAGCGCAACCCUUAUUGUUAGUUGCUACGCAAGAGCACUCUAGCGAGACUGCCGUUGACAAAACGGAGGAAGGUGGGGACGACGUCAAAUCAUCAUGCCCCUUAUGUCCUGGGCCACACACGUACUACAAUGGUGGUUAACAGAGGGAAGCAAUACUGCGAGGUGGAGCAAAUCCCUAAAAGCCAUCCCAGUUCGGAUCGCAGGCUGCAACCCGCCUGCGUGAAGUUGGAAUCGCUAGUAAUCGCGGAUCAGCAUGCCGCGGUGAAUACGUUCC